AUGUCUUUUACUGACACAUUGCCAUACUGCAUAUGACUGCAACUAAAAGUAUAGAAGAAGCUUUGGGAGCAGGCAGCGAGUAGAGAGAGACAGGACAAGUUUCCAGCACCUAAGGAAACUGGAAGCUUGGACUUCAUGAACAGUAACGAAGAAUGAUUGACAUGGAGCCUCAGCAAAUCCGGUACUGUCAGAGGGGCCACAGCAUCGGAGAGACAGGCAACAGAGUGCUCCGAAGGCUCUGCUUGGUAUGAGAACAUGCAUGGAAAUGUGCCAGCGUUCUUGGCAUUAAUGUGAUCCAGGAGUCAAGUUAAUAUCAGCUUCAGCACCAACCUCAAGAGCUGGGAUGUGUCCAAAAUCCUCCUGGAGAGUCCCAGGGUGCAGGAUUCCACCUUCUGGCACUGACCAAAUUCACGAGCUUCUGGGGUCUUCACUUCCACCUGGCUUCUACCGGCUGCCAGACCCUUCAACCUCCCUCCUAGCAUAGCACUCGCUGCAGGAAGCUGGCUCCAGGACUUCACUAGUGACCCAAGGGAAUAGGAUGGAGGAAGGAGGGGAGAUCCUUUAAAACUCAAUGCCAAAUUUCUCUGUUGGAUUCCAUCUCUUUGCUUAUUAGCAGGACACCUCUCUCUCUCCAGUAACUGAAACAAAUAAUCAUGUACUUACCUUCUCAGACCUCAUUGUGCCAAGCAAGUUAGUACCCUUACCAAAUGCCUGCUGUGGCCUUUGCAUUUGCUCUCAAAUUCAGCAGCCAUAGCCUUCACCAAGUCUCCAAAGUUCAGCUCCCAGGCAAAAGAGAAACAGCUCCCACACCUUACAGGAGGGAGCCAGAGACCGAGUGCUAUCUAAUGCAAAUCCAUCCUAAGAAGGUUGUGG
rnacentral:lncRNA from 1 species